CAGUCGAGGGGCAUCAGGAAGAAAGCUUGCUUUCUUUGCUGGCGACCGGCGCACGGGUGAGUAACACGUAUCCAACCUGCCCUUUACUCGGGGAUAGCCUUUCGAAAGAAAGAUUAAUACCCGAUAGCAUAAUGAUUCCGCAUGGUUUCAUUAUUAAAGGAUUCCGGUAAAGGAUGGGGAUGCGUUCCAUUAGGUUGUUGGUGAGGUAACGGCUCACCAAGCCUUCGAUGGAUAGGGGUUCUGAGAGGAAGGUCCCCCACAUUGGAACUGAGACACGGUCCAAACUCCUACGGGAGGCAGCAGUGAGGAAUAUUGGUCAAUGGGCGCUAGCCUGAACCAGCCAAGUAGCGUGAAGGAUGAAGGCUCUAUGGGUCGUAAACUUCUUUUAUAUAAGAAUAAAGUGCAGUAUGUAUACUGUUUUGUAUGUAUUAUAUGAAUAAGGAUCGGCUAACUCCGUGCCAGCAGCCGCGGUAAUACGGAGGAUCCGAGCGUUAUCCGGAUUUAUUGGGUUUAAAGGGAGCGUAGGUGGACUGGUAAGUCAGUUGUGAAAGUUUGCGGCUCAACCGUAAAAUUGCAGUUGAUACUGUCAGUCUUGAGUACAGUAGAGGUGGGCGGAAUUCGUGGUGUAGCGGUGAAAUGCUUAGAUAUCACGAAGAACUCCGAUUGCGAAGGCAGCUCACUGGACUGCA
rnacentral:rRNA from 1 species